rnacentral:rRNA from 1 species
UACGUAGGUCCCGAGCGUUGUCCGGAUUUAUUGGGCGUAAAGCGAGCGCAGGUGGUUUAUUAAGUCUGGUGUAAAAGGCAGUGGCUCAACCAUUGUAUGCAUUGGAAACUGGUAGACUUGAGUGCAGGAGAGGAGAGUGGAAUUCCAUGUGUAGCGGUGAAAUGCGUAGAUAUAUGGAGGAACACCAGUGGCGAAGGCGGCUUGCUGGACGAUGACUGACGUUGAGGCUCGAAAGCGUGGGGAGCAAACAGG